GGGAGGGAGAAACUGACAUCCCAGCAGUAGCAGCAGCAACAACAACAGGGAGCAAGGAAGCGCCGCUCAGCGAGGGGGCCAAAACACAUACUUGGUGACAACCGUGUAUCAGCUGAUGAGGGUGGACGUGUGAACAGCACCGCUCCUGUAGUUUUAAGCGCUCUGCAGAGAGGGGACGGUGUGAUCGUUUUGUUAAUGCCAGUUGUUGGACCUGGCUGCAACGAGCGGCGCCUUGUGGAACUUAACAGCUGAAUCGCAGUCUCCCCUUGAAUGUGAGGAGAGGUGAAAAGAAAAUCGGAAAGAAAAGGCUGUUGGAAGCAAUCUGGGUUUCAGUAUCCUGACAACUAUACGCUAAGGAACCAGACAAUUGAUUGGGGUUUGGGUCUGGGGCUUCACCUCCCAGCAUCAGUACAGAAUGAGUUUCUGAACCGUCUCAUGUGAACCGGUUUCGAUUGAAAUAAACCUCGAGUAGCUGAGUUUCUUGCCAAAUCAUCAAGCCGAAAGACAGACUACUAGUCAUGCACUAAACACAAUUUAUUGGUCCAAAUUACAACUUAAACUCAGAUACACAAAUGUUUAAUAGACAUUGCUGAAUGUAAUCAAAAUGACAUAGCCAUUUAGAAGCUAAUCAAUACUUGACAGAGUUACUUAUAAAAUGCAAUUUGCUUUUGUUAAGACUGCUUAAAACUUACCGAUUGAACCAAACUUUUGGUCAAAUAUGCACUUCCCUCAAUUUAGUAUACUGCAUUCGUUGCUCCCAAUGCGGUUU